rnacentral:rRNA from 1 species
CUUGCUUUCUCAAGCGAGUGGCGAACGGGUGAGUAACGCGUGAGGAACCUGCCUCAAAGAGGGGGACAACAGUUGGAAACGACUGCUAAUACCGCAUAAGCCCACAGCUCGGCAUCGAGCAGAGGGAAAAGGAGCAAUCCGCUUUGAGAUGGCCUCGCGUCCGAUUAGCUAGUUGGUGAGGUAAUGGCCCACCAAGGCGACGAUCGGUAGCCGGACUGAGAGGUUGAACGGCCACAUUGGGACUGAGACACGGCCCAGACUCCUACGGGAGGCAGCAGUGGGGAAUAUUGCACAAUGGGGGAAACCCUGAUGCAGCGACGCCGCGUGGAGGAAGAAGGUCUUCGGAUUGUAAACUCCUGUUGUUGAGGAAGAUAAUGACGGUACUCAACAAGGAAGUGACGGCUAACUACGUGCCAGCAGCCGCGGUAAAACGUAGGUCACAAGCGUUGUCCGGAAUUACUGGGUGUAAAGGGAGCGCAGGCGGGAAGGCAAGUUGGAAGUGAAAUCUAUGGGCUCAACCCAUAAACUGCUUUCAAAACUGUUUUUCUUGAGUAGUGCAGAGGUAGGCGGAAUUCCCGGUGUAGCGGUGGAAUGCGUAGAUAUCGGGAGGAACACCAGUGGCGAAGGCGGCCUACUGGGCACCAACUGACGCUGAGGCUCGAAAGUGUGGGUAGCAAACAGGAUUAGAUAC